rnacentral:rRNA from 1 species
CUAACACAUGCAAGUCGAGCGGUAGCACAGAGAGCUUGCUCUCGGGUGACGAGCGGCGGACGGGUGAGUAAUGUCUGGGAAACUGCCUGAUGGAGGGGGAUAACUACUGGAAACGGUAGCUAAUACCGCAUAACGUCGCAAGACCAAAGUGGGGGACCUUCGGGCCUCAUGCCAUCAGAUGUGCCCAGAUGGGAUUAGCUAGUAGGUGGGGUAACGGCUCACCUAGGCGACGAUCCCUAGCUGGUCUGAGAGGAUGACCAGCCACACUGGAACUGAGACACGGUCCAGACUCCUACGGGAGGCAGCAGUGGGGAAUAUUGCACAAUGGGCGCAAGCCUGAUGCAGCCAUGCCGCGUGUGUGAAGAAGGCCUUCGGGUUGUAAAGCACUUUCAGCGGGGAGGAAGGCGUUGAGGUUAAUAACCUUGGCGAUUGACGUUACCCGCAGAAGAAGCACCGGCUAACUCCGUGCCAGCAGCCGCGGUAAUACGGAGGGUGCAAGCGUUAAUCGGAAUUACUGGGCGUAAAGCGCACGCAGGCGGUCUGUCAAGUCGGAUGUGAAAUCCCCGGGCUCAACCUGGGAACUGCAUUCGAAACUGGCAGGCUAGAGUCUUGUAGAGGGGGGUAGAAUUCCAGGUGUAGCGGUGAAAUGCGUAGAGAUCUGGAGGAAUACCGGUGGCGAAGGCGGCCCCCUGGACAAAGACUGACGCUCAGGUGCGAAAGCGUGGGGAGCAAACAGGAUUAGAUACCCUGGUAGUCCACGCCGUAAACGAUGUCGAUUUGGAGGUUGUGCCCUUGAGGCGUGGCUUCCGGAGCUAACGCGUUAAAUCGACCGCCUGGGGAGUACGGCCGCAAGGUUAAAACUCAAAUGAAUUGACGGGGGCCCGCACAAGCGGUGGAGCAUGUGGUUUAAUUCGAUGCAACGCGAAGAACCUUACCUGGUCUUGACAUCCACAGAACUUUCCAGAGAUGGAUUGGUGCCUUCGGGAACUGUGAGACAGGUGCUGCAUGGCUGUCGUCAGCUCGUGUUGUGAAAUGUUGGGUUAAGUCCCGCAACGAGCGCAACCCUUAUCCUUUGUUGCCAGCGGUUAGGCCGGGAACUCAAAGGAGACUGCCAGUGAUAAACUGGAGGAAGGUGGGGAUGACGUCAAGUCAUCAUGGCCCUUACGACCAGGGCUACACACGUGCUACAAUGGCAUAUACAAAGAGAAGCGACCUCGCGAGAGCAAGCGGACCUCAUAAAGUAUGUCGUAGUCCGGAUUGGAGUCUGCAACUCGACUCCAUGAAGUCGGAAUCGCUAGUAAUCGUAGAUCAGAAUGCUACGGUGAAUACGUUCCCGGGCCUUGUACACACCGCCCGUCACACCAUGGGAGUGGGUUGCAAAAGAAGUAGGUAGCUUAACCUUCGGGAGGGCGCUUACCA